rnacentral:rRNA from 1 species
CCGGCCACACUGGGACUGAGACACGGCCCAGACUCCUACGGGAGGCAGCAGUGGGGAAUAUUGCACAAUGGGCGAAAGCCUGAUGCAGCAACGCCGCGUGAGGGAUGACGGCCUUCGGGUUGUAAACCUCUUUCAGCAGGGACGAAGCGCAAGUGACGGUACCUGCAGAAGAAGCACCGGCCAACUACGUGCCAGCAGCCGCGGCCGAA